GACGAACGCUGGCGGCGUGCCUAACACAUGCAAGUUGAGCGACGAACCAGGGCUUGCCCUGGGGCAAAGCAGCGAACGGGUGAGUAACACGUGGGUAACCUACCCCGAUAACCGGGACAACCCGAGGAAACUCGGGCUAAUACCGGAUGUGCUCACUGGACUUCGGUUCAGUGCGUAAAGGAAGCUUCGGCCUCCGUAUCGGGAGGGGCCCGCGGCCCAUUAGUUUGUUGGUGAGGUAACGGCUCACCAAGACCGCGAUGGGUAGCUGGUCUGAGAGGACGACCAGCCACACUGGGAUUGAGACACGGCCCAGACUCCUACGGGAGGCAGCAGUGGGGAAUCUUGCGCAAUGCGCGAAAGCGUGACGCAGCAACGCCGCGUGGGGGAAGAAGGCCUUCGGGUUGUAAACCCCUUUCAGGAGGGACGAAGGUUCGGCGGUGAAUAGCCGUCCGGACUGACGGUACCUCCACAAGAAGCCCCGGCUAACUACGUG
rnacentral:rRNA from 1 species